rnacentral:rRNA from 1 species
GACGAACGCUGGCGGCGUGCUUAACACAUGCAAGUCGAACGGAAAGGACCUGCUUUUGUGGGGUGCUCGAGUGGCGAACGGGUGAGUAACACGUGAGUAACCUGCCCUUGACUUUGGGAUAACUUCAGGAAACUGGGGCUAAUACCGGAUAGGAGCUCCUGCUGCAUGGUGGGGGUUGGAAAGUUUCGGCGGUUGGGGAUGGACUCGCGGCUUAUCAGCUUGUUGGUGGGGUAGUGGCUUACCACGGCUUUGACGGGUAGCCGGCCUGAGAGGGUGACCGGCCACAUUGGGACUGAGAUACGGCACAGACUCCUACGGGAGGCAGCAGUGGGGAGUAUUGCACAAUGGGAGGAAGCCUGAUGCAGCAACGCCGCGUGCGGGAUGACGGCCUGCGGGUUGUAAACCGCUUUCGCCUGUGACGAAGCGUGAGUGACGGUAAUGGGUAAAGAAGCACCGGCUAACUACGUG